UUUUUACAAUGAAGAGUUUGAUCCUGGCUCAGGAUGAACGCUAGCGGGAGGCUUAACACAUGCAAGUCGAGGGGCAGCAUAGGGUAGCAAUACUCUGAUGGCGACCGGCGCACGGGUGAGUAACGCGUAUGCAACCUAUCCUGUACUG
rnacentral:rRNA from 1 species